AGGCGAACCUCCAUUCUUACCCGAAUCUUUUGACGGAAUUCUUCUUGAUGCCCCCUGCAGUGGAAUGGGACAGAGACCAUACAUGGCUUGUACUUGGACUUUGAAGGAAAUGAUACCAUAUCAACCAUUACAGAGAAAACUCUUUACUGUGGAGCCUCAAAUCGGAGGAGCAGGGAUGAUGGGAGUUGGCCUGACAUCUGAACAGUUGAAACAGCUGCAGCGAUUCGAUCCGUUGGUGGUGCCAUCACGGGACACCGACUUUGAUUGUCUCAGAGACAGCAGAACAGAAGACAUGAUCUGGCUGGCCAAUGAGGACUGUGUAGGUUUCUUCACUGCAAGAUUUGUGAAAUGCAAAAGCAAUAGAGAAGGAGCCAUAGAAGUGAAGAUUCCAAACAUUUGCUGUGCAGUUUUUUUUUUUUUUUUUAAAUUUAACUUGAAUCAAUCGUCAGGCCACAGACUGAUUCUGUGGUUGCUGAGGAAACUGAAGACUGCCAGCUGUUCCGCCGGGAACCCAGAGAUUUGAUCAAGAGAUUCUGCUUCAUAGAGGAAUUAGUCAGGGGGCAGAUGGAGAUUAUACUUUGUGUUUUUAAAAUAAUUUUUUUCUUCAUGGAUUUAGCAGAGUAUAAAGAAGGCAGUAUGAAGAAAAGGGGAUGCCUAUAGAUGUCUGGAACAUACUUUUACUUGGGGUCUUUGUUUUAAUUUAUAAAGAGUGCAAAUCAUUUUUAAUGUUAAAAUCAGGGGAUUUAACAAAAGAAAAUCCGCAAUAUUUAAUUUGGUUAUAAAGCAUGUUUUCUGUUCCUCAGUUCAUGUGUACAAGUUGCUUACGAAUUCAGGUUAUGGGAACUAUAACUUAUGUAUCAUGUGCCAGGAACUGAGCUGGGGAUUUUACCUGACUUUUUCUGUUGACUAUUUCAUUAAUCAGCUUCCUUUCACCUGAAUUCUGGGCCUUUCUUAAAUGACAGUCUCCCUUCACUGUGUUUAAUUUUUUCCCCCUCAUAUUUAAAAAAACUUUUUUUUUCUCUUUACAGCCUCACCUGUGGAACAUGGAAGUUCUCUGGCUAGGGGUUGAAUCAGAGCUGCAGCUGCAGGUCUACACCACAGCCACGCCAAAUCCGAGCUGAAUCUGCAGCCUAUACUCCAGCUUGUGACAAUGCCAGAUCCUUAACCUGCUGAGCGAGGCCAGGGAUUGAACCUACAUCCUCAUGGACACUAUGUCAGGUUCUUAACCCUCUGAGCCAUGCCAGGAAGUCCCCCCUUCAUAUUUUAAACUGAAAACGAAAAUGAAACUUUUUUUUUUUUACUCUAUAGAUUAAAAGUGAGAAUACUACACAAUUUGGGUACCUUUUAUCACCUGAUGGGUCACAUACAGGUUAUUAAGAGAUGUGAGUGGUGAGAAAGAGAAAAAAGCAUCCUCUGAGAGCUGGGAAGUGGCUGGACACUUAGAGUUAAGCCUUGGCGUCCUACCACCGAACAGAAGCAGGUCCAGAGAACACCGACCUCAGACCAUGCAGCUGUGACUGGGCCAGAUCAAGACAAAAAAGACCUCUUUACAGUUAAAAAUCUGAAAUCAUCCAAACCACAAACGUGACCAAACACCACAUCUUUCCCUGUAGUGGCCAGUUUAAGAGGACUGCCUUUUUAAAAUUAAUUGUAACGGUGGGCUUGCUUCAUCCUACCUGCUUUUUUAGGUAAGAUAUAUUAAAAUACUCAAUACCCAGCCAUAAUUUAAAAGCUGUCUCAUUUAGUGUUAAUAACAUCCGUUCUGUAAAUUCACAUCUACCCAAAUUGAGCCAUGGGCAUAUAAAGUGGAUAAUUGGAAGUAAUUGCCUAAUAGUUUUUUUUUCUCAUAGGUUUCCAUUAAGAAUUUCUCGAAUCUGUUGUAUCCAUCAGGAAUGCCAGGUCUCGUGGAUCAGUAUAGGGAUCAAAUCGAAGCUGCCAGCACAGCAUCACAGCCAUAGCAACACUGGAUCUGAGCUGCAUCUGUGACCUACACCAGAGUUUGUAGCAAUGAUGGAUCCUUUACCUACUGAGGGAAGCCAGGGAUCAAACCUGCAUCUUCACAGACAUGUGACACUUGACGUAUGAAUAAGAUGAGAAUAUCCUGCACUGCAUCACUUCGCAAAGGGUGAGGAAUUAAAUUCAUCAUCAAGAGGGAUCUCCAUUUUAAGAAUGAACAAUAAAAUUUAAAAUCAGAGUCAAGAAUUGCUGAAUAUGUAGAAUGAAGGUGGGGAGAAGUUGACUUGGUUGUGCUCAGGCCUCAGGAACCUUUUACCUGCCGGAAGCUGUCAUUUUAUCAGACGUGAUGGGAAGACCACUGUAGGCCCUCAGUGACUGGCAAGGCCCCAUAGGAAGAUGGGCCAUGAGUGGGAGAUGCUGGAGCAAGAACAAGGAGCCAGCAGAUGCGCGCCCCCUCUGGCUGUGAGCUUCCUCCCGUCCCUGCCCGCCCUCCGGACCCCGCAGCAUCCCGCGGCCUGUGACCUGCAGGGCAGGUGGGUGGGCGCCUGACGCCAGGCUGGUUUCUUCAUCCGUCUUCCGCAUUCAGAUCCACUCGUGCACACUCUCACACCCAGACCCACACGCAUGCACACACGGAACUCCGGCUCAGACGACAGUGGCCGCGAAGCAUGUGGUUGUCGCAGGCAGUGCCCACCGAUGGAGUAGAACAACCUUUGGAGUUUGAUUAUAUUUACCAUCAUUUACAGUCAAAAUCAUUGACUUACAAGGAUGGGAAAACAUUCAGAAAUCAGCCUGUUCAAGUCAAGCAGUCACACGUAUUUACAGUAUGUACAGACUUUCUCCUAGAACGGGGAUAGGUGUCUGGACGAUGGUAUUACAAAUUUCCUGAAGGUGGGCGUUUCUAGUUCCUGUAAUUCAUAAAGCAAAUCUGCUGACUUGGCAUUAAGACUCUAAAACAGUGUGGUCAAACUGAUAUAUAUAUAUAUGUAUAUAUAUAUAUAAUAUAUAUAAUUAUCAUAAGAAGGUGUUUGCAGAAAUAACAUUUACAAACUGUCUAUACAGUACACAAUACUAGUACAUAGAAAAUAGAUUCUAACUUUAUGAUCCCCUUUGUGUAAGGCAAGACUGAAUCUGUCCCCAAAUUUAGUCAGCCAGAGGUACAAGCAAGAAACAGUGGUCCAUGGAUGAAUAUGCAAAUCAGGUCGGUGCCUACAUACUAAAAAUCACGAGAAUCAAGAAAUCCCACUUUUAAUAUGGGCCAGUCCUGGCCCGCUGGAUACAUCAACUACCUUUUGCAAAAUGUCAGCUAUGCAUCUUAAAAUACUAAUGCCAUAGGGAUGGCAAAAGAUUUUGUUCAAGCCCAGCAAGUUGAAAUACUUCAGUCCGCAACAAGAGGAUGGCAGCCUUCCAGGACAAUUCAGGUAGCACUUAGGAAAAAAAUAUUAAUACCCUAUUUCAUGCUAUUGCUAGUUAAGCAAUAUGUACAAAAUACACAGAUCAAAUAUGACUGCGAUGUAGAUGCCUUCCAGACUGAGUGUGAGGGUGGUGGUGUACCAGACUUUAAAAACCGAAAAAAAAAAAAAAAAAAAAAACCAACCAACCCCCAACAACACAAAAGGAGGAACGUCACUGGCGGAUGUCAACAUCCCUGUUGCAGUCCCCAGCCUCGUUCCGCUUCUUGGCGAGCCCUUCUGCGUCCUUGAAUUUGUGGCGGCUCCGCUGUCUGCUGCACUCAUUGUGGUCCUGCUCCCGAUCCGGGUCCCGGGCGCGGUGCCGGGACUCGCGGUGUCUGUGCUCACCACCUCCGUGGGGCUCCUCCCUGUGGCUGUGGUCACGGUGGGCGGCGCAGUGGUCCACGGGCUCGUGGCAGGAAUCUUCCUUGGUGGAGUCUCGACUCUCCUGUGUCUCUGAGUCCAGCGUCUUCUGCCUGAAGAGGCUGUGCCCGGCACCACUGUGGUGGUUGUGGUGCUGGGUGGAGGACAAAGACCAGUGCUGGGGUUUCCGGACCGGCUCCGGGCAGGCUUCUUCUUCAACUUGGGAAGCAGACCGGCCCGGGGCUGAGCGAUCCAUCCUCUGAUCGCCUGGAGGCAUAGGGGGCAAACACAGUCCUCAGCCAAUUCCGGAGUCGUUAGACUAUCACAAAAGCAAGUCAUUCCCAGUGGAAUCCCUUUUUGAGGGAUUUGAAAGUAAAAUCUAACCUCGCUCUGUUGCUUCUUUUGAUAACAUCCAGUGGCGUCUGUAAGGUUUAUAUUGUAUUAUGUUGAACUUUAUGUUAAUUUGUGAGGGCCUAGGACAGUGCACAGAGGAAUUUUUUUAAUGAACAAGUGGAGGAGGGAGGGCGUUCCUUUAUUUGCUCAUAGUUCAACUACAGGUACAGGUCCUUGAGAUGCUUACACAUGGCUGCUCAAAUAUGUGUGGGAAGAUGAAAACUUCUUAGGAUGUUGGCUUUAAGGGAAAAAAAUGAUAAAAUGGCAAAUGCUUUAAAUGGCAGAUAAUGAGACCAGCACUGUUGUAAGAUAGUGACAUACAUUGUCAUCAAUACAGCCACCUGAUAAUCUUGAGAACAGGCAUGAUAAUCUUGAGAACAGACAUGAGAUGGGACAGGUCAUGACAUGGCCUCAUGAGGUAGGUGGCUACUAGUAUUCCUGAGGCACAGAGCAGGUAAGGAAUCGGUCCAAGAUUACACAGCAGGGAGGAGAAGGUGAGGGAUGGGAACCUAGGCAGCCUGAGUCCACAGGCUCGGCUGCCCCCAUGUAGAAAGUUCUGCCAUCCCUGUCUUAGUAGGCUAUGGGGCUAGGGGCUCUUACAGGUUUCUAUACCUUCACCGGACUCUGCUUUUCUUAUAGGUACUCAGUUGACACUGGAGAUACUUGAGGACUCAGCGUUUGUCACAUUCUGGAUAGAGCUGCCCAGUUGGAACAAGCACAGCACCCGGGAUCGGGGCACAGAUCCUAGCCAGGCGGCCGCAGGGAAGAGCUGCUUGCUUACCUCAGGGAGAACUCGAGGAGGAAGAAGACAACAUCGGCUGGUGAUUCCUGCUUAGACGUCACCCACCACUGCUUCUUCAUCAUCAGCGCAAAUAUCUGAACAGCGAAAAAGGGGGUGAAUGUCUCAGUGUUACUUACCAUGAAGAUGCUCUUCGCCUAAUGGACCCUCUGACAGCGCCUCAGAAGCUCCUCCACCACGAAUCCAUGGGCUGCUCUUUGGGAAUCACUGUUCUACACCAUGAAAUUAAUCGUCCUCCUCUGCUUCUAUGAAUCUUAACAAUUCUUGAUCACCAUCUCUCUCUCAAACCCUCUGUGGAAGGUAAAAGCCUGUUUAUAAUUGGAAAGCAGGAUAUAAACACACAUUAGUAAAGUUUCAUUACACAACAAACACUAACAACCUGGCUUACCUUAGGAGAAGACAUCUUGUAAUAGGGGCCAGAGAGGUUUUACUGAGUUGAGCUGGAUGAUUAAUAAGUAUCUGCAUCAAGGUCCACCAGUUGCAGUCUUCUUGCAAGUUCAAAAAUCCUCUCGAUUUCACUCUGAAGUUCUGCUGUAAAAGAUUAUUCAGACCAGAUUGAGAUAAAAGUAAAAGGCUACUCCUGGAGGUGAGCCAUUAGGUUGAUGUCUACAGGUAAGAGAGCUGAGAACAGGCAUCAAGGGAAAAAGCCAUUUCUUCACAACACCUCUAGAAUUUAGAGAAUUCCUAUCAGCUAUAAGAUUUAGUUCUAAUAUAACAUACAAUCUGAGAGUCAACUUUUUUGGCUCGCUCUCUGCUGACUUGUGUUUGGUGCUAUAAAACUUCUAUGAAGUCAUUCCAUGAAAAUGUUGUAAAAUAGAAACUUGAAGAGCUGUCUGUCUGUCGUGUUGGUUUCUGACCACUCUAGCCCAGCAACCAUCACCAGCUUUCCUGUCAGUGCCUGGGCUUAUGUGUUUGCAUGUCACCUCUUGGUCUGCUCUCUGGAUAUGACGGUGUCCAGAGAUGGAUAUUAUAGCAAGCUGAACUUCAGCACACAACAGGACAGGCUUAAGAGUGUUUACAACAAACUGGUCCAGAAACCCACUUCUCAUGUCUUCCACAAACAAAAGAAUAAUCCUGUAACAUUCAGGCUUUAAAAGGGCAAUUAUAGGAGUUCCUGUUGUGGCUCAGCGGAAAUGAACCUAAGUACCAUGAGGACGAGGGUUUGCUCCCUGGCCUCGCUCAGUGGGUUAAGGAUCUGGUGUUGCCCUGAGGUGUGAAGGACACGGCUUGGACCUGACAUUGCUGUGGCUGUGGUGUAGGCUGGCAGCUGUAGCUCUGAUUCAACCCCUAGCCUGGGAACUUCCAUAUGUGGCACCAAAAAAAAGGAGGGGGUGUCAUUUUUAUAUGAUUUAUAGAAAACUACAUGAUUUAUAGAAAACAUCCAUAUGCUGCAGGUGUGGCCCUAAAAGGACAAAAGAUAAAAAAAAAAAAAAAAAAAAAGAUAGUUGCACUCCAUGUUCAUUACAGCACUAUUUACAGUAGCCAAGACCUAAGCGUCCACCAGUGGAUGAAUGGAUAAGGAGAAUUUAAUACACAAACACACAGACGAAUACUGCUGAGUCAUAAAGAAGGAAAUCCUGCCAUUUGCAACAACACUAAUGGACCUUACUGACUUUAUGCUAAGUGAAGUAAGAGAAAGACAAAUACCAUACAAUCUUACUUAAAUGCGGAAUGAAAAAAAAUUUCAUAGAUACGGAGAUUAGAUCAGUGGUAGACAGAGGUGGGAAGUGGGAGGAAGGUGGUCAAAGGGUACAAAUAUAUCCUGCAGAUGUAACUGCACAGCCUGGUGACUCUAGUUAACAAUACUCUACUGUAUAUUGAAAGUUACUGAGAGAGUAGAUCUUCAAAGUUCUCAUCACAAGAAAAAAAUCUGAAACUGUAUGUAGCUGUAACUAGACUUAACUGUGGUCAUUACACAAUAGAUAUAUGUGUCACAUCAUGUUGUACACCUGAAACUAAUACAAUGGUAUAUGUCCGUUAUGUCUCAAUAAAAAGAAAUUUGAUCACA
rnacentral:lncRNA from 1 species